CUGAGCUGCUGCCUGCAGAGAGACGAGGAGCGGCGCUGGUCUGCCAACGAGCUCCUGCAGCAUCCAUUUGUAACAUCAGCCAAGCCAGCGUCCACCCUGGCACCACUCAUCAACUCAGUGAAGAAGAAGAAGGAGAAGACAAGAAUGUAACAAUCAAGAUGUUAUCUCCAUAACCAAGUUAGAGUAGGAUUGUGGAGUAGGACUCUAGAGUAGGAUUGUUGAGUAGUUUUCUAGUAUAGGUUUAUAGAGUAGGAUUUUAAUUCAAUAAAGUUUCUCAAACAUCAA